rnacentral:rRNA from 1 species
UACGUAGGAGGCAAGCGUUGUCCGGAUUUACUGGGCGUAAAGAGCGUGUAGGCGGCAUGGCAAGUCUGCUGUGAAAGCUCUCGGCUUAACCGGGAGAGGUCGGUAGAAACUGCCAAGCUUGAGGACGGUAGAGGCAGGCGGAAUUCCGGGUGUAGCGGUGGAAUGCGUAGAGAUCCGGAAGAACACCGGUGGCGAAGGCGGCCUGCUGGGCAGUAGCUGACACUGAGGCGCGACAGCGUGGGGAGCAAACAGG